UACGAAGGGGGCUAGCGUUGUUCGGAAUUACUGGGCGUAGAGCGUGCGCAGGCGGUGAUGUAAGACAGGUGUGAAAUCCCCGGGCUUAACCUGGGAACUGCAUUUGUGACUGCAUCGCUGGAGUGCGGCAGAGGGGGAUGGAAUUCCGCGUGUAGCAGUGAAAUGCGUAGAUAUGCGGAGGAACACCGAUGGCGAAGGCAAUCCCCUGGGCCUGCACUGACGCUCAUGCACGAAAGCGUGGGGAGCAAACAGG
rnacentral:rRNA from 1 species